rnacentral:rRNA from 1 species
UAAUACAGAGGCCCCAAGCGUUACUGAGAAUCACUGGGUUUAAAGGGUGCGUAGGUGGUCCGUUAAGUUCGUUGUGAAAUCCCUGGGCUCAACCCAGGAACUGCUUCGAAUACUGGCGGACUUGAGGCUAGUAGGGGUCACUGGAACUGACGGUGGAGCGGUGAAAUGCGUAGAUAUCGUCAGGAACGCCAAUGGUGAAGACAGGUGACUGGGCUAGAUCUGACACUGAGGCACGAAAGCGUGGGGAGCGAACGGGAUUAGAUACCCCGGUAGUCCACGCCCUAAACGAUGCAGACUAGACUGCAGCGGGUUACACCCCGUUGCGGUCGGAGCGAAAUUGUUAAGUCUGCCACCUGGGAAGUACGGUCGCAAGGCUA